CGGCAGGCCUAAUACAUGCAAGUCGAACGGUAAAUAUUAUAGCAAUAUAGUAUGAGAGUGACGUACGGGUGCGUAACACGUAUGCAACCUACCCAAAACAGGAGUAUAGCUCGGGGAAACUCGAAUUAACCCUCCAUAAUAUAUCGGAGUGGCAUCAUUUCGAUAUUAAAAUACAAGUGGUUUUGGAUGGGCAUGCGUCUGAUUAGUUAGUUGGCGGGGUAACGGCCCACCAAGACGAUGAUCAGUAGGGGAACUGAGAGGUUGAUCCCCCACACUGGCACUGAGAUACGGGCCAGACUCCUACGGGAGGCAGCAGUAGGGAAUAUUGGUCAAUGGGUGAGAGCCUGAACCAGCCAUGCCGCGUGCAGGAAGAAGGCCUUCUGGGUUGUAAACUGCUUUUGCCAGGGGAUAAAAUGACUGUGCGCAGUUAAUUGAAGGUACCUGGUGAAUAAGCCACGGCUAACUACGUGCCAGCAGCCGCGGUAAUACGUAGGUGGCAAGCGUUGUCCGGAUUUAUUGGGUUUAAAGGGUGCGUAGGCGGCCCUGUAAGUCAAGUGGUGAAAUACUCUAGCUUAACUAGAGGGGUGCCAAUGAUACUGCAGGGCUUGAGUACAGAUGAGGUAGGCGGAAU
rnacentral:rRNA from 1 species